rnacentral:rRNA from 1 species
GACGAACGCUGGCGGCGUGCUUAACACAUGCAAGUCGAACGGUGAAGCGCCUUCCUUUUUGGUGGGUGUGGAUGAGUGGCGAACGGGUGAGUAACACGUGAGUAACCUGCCCCCUUCUUCUGGAUAACCGCAUGAAAGUGUGGCUAAUACGGGAUAUUCUGGGUCUGUCGCAUGAUGGGUCUGGGAAAGAUAUUGUUUCGGUGGGGGAUGGGCUCGCGGCCUAUCAGCUUGUUGGUGGGGUGAUGGCCUACCAAGGCGGUGACGGGUAGCCGGCCUGAGAGGGUGGACGGUCACACUGGGACUGAGACACGGCCCAGACUCCUACGGGAGGCAGCAGUGGGGAAUAGUGCACAAUGGGCGCAAGCCUGAUGCAGCGACGCCGCGUGAGGGAUGGAGGCCUUCGGGUUGUGAAACUCUUUCGCCAGUGAAGCAGGCCUGCCUCGUUUGUGGGUGGGUGGACGGGAGCUGGAUAAGAAGCGCCGGCUAACUACGU